rnacentral:rRNA from 1 species
CCUACGGGAGGCAGCAGUGGGGAAUUUUGGACAAUGGGCGCAAGCCUGAUCCAGCAAUGCCGCGUGAGUGAAGAAGGCCUUCGGGUUGUAAAGCUCUUUUGUCAGGGAAGAAACGGUGGGAGCUAAUAUCUUCUGCUAAUGACGGUACCUGAAGAAUAAGCACCGGCUAACUACGUGCCAGCAGCCGCGGUAAUACGUAGGGUGCAAGCGUUAAUCGGAAUUACUGGGCGUAAAGCGUGCGCAGGCGGUUGUGCAAGACAGAUGUGAAAUCCCCGGGCUCAACCUGGGAAUUGCAUUUGUGACUGCACGGCUAGAGUGUGUCAGAGGGGGGUAGAAUUCCACGUGUAGCAGUGAAAUGCGUAGAGAUGUGGAGGAAUACCGAUGGCGAAGGCAGCCCCCUGGGAUAACACUGACGCUCAUGUACGAAAGCGUGGGGAGCAAACAGGAUUAGAUACCCUGGUAGUCCACGCCCUAAACGAUGUCUACUAGUUGUCGGGUCUUAAUUGACUUGGUAACGCAGCUACGCGUGAGUAGACGCCGNGGAGGUACGGUCGCGAGAGUAAACGUACGAAGUAGAGUAGAGGAGNGAGAGNGCGACGGACGACGACGAGGGGAGGAGG